rnacentral:rRNA from 1 species
CAGCACCUCAAGUGGUCAGGAUGAUUAUUGGGCCUAAAGCAUCCGUAGCCGGCGCUGUAAGUUUUCGGUUGAAUCUGUACGCUCAACGUACAGGCUGCCGGGAAUACUGCAGCGCUAGGGAGUGGGAGAGGUAGACGGUACUCGGUAGGAAGGGGUAAAAUCCUAUGAUCUAUUGAUGACCACCUGUGGCGAAGGCGGUCUACCAGAACACGUCCGACGGUGAGGGAUGAAAGCUGGGGGAGCAAACCGGAUUAGAUACCCGAGUAGUCC